rnacentral:rRNA from 1 species
CUUUCUCCGCCGGCGACCGUCGCACGGGUGAGUAACACGUAUGCAACCUGCCCCUGUCAGGGGGACAACCCGCCGAAAGGCGGGCUAAACCCGCGUACAUGCCACCGGGGCAUCCCGGAGGCAGGAAAGGCUUCGGCCGGACAGGGAUGGGCAUGCGGCGCAUUAGGCAGUAGGCGGGGUAACGGCCCACCUAACCGACGAUGCGUAGGGGUUCUGAGAGGAAGGUCCCCCACACUGGUACUGAGACACGGACCAGACUCCUACGGAAGGCAGCAG